rnacentral:snRNA from 1 species
GUGCUCGCUUUGGCAGCACACAUACUAAAAUUGGAACGAUGCAGAGAAGAUUAGCAUGGCCCCU